GGGCUAUACAGUACAGCUGAAGGAUUUAAGCAAGGCAAAUAAGGUAAUAAGAUUACCGUUAAAAAUGAUGCUUGUAGCUGUGCUGUGGAUUGAAGGACUGCUGCUGCUGCUGUUGCUAGGUUGCUUCAGUCGUGUCCGACUUUGUGCGACCCCAUAAAUGGCAGCCCGCCAGGCUCCCCCGUCCCUGGGAUUCUCCAGCUCUUCAAGACCCCAUGGACUGCAGCCUACCAGGCUACUCUGUCCAUGGGAUUUUCCAGGCAAGAGUACUGGAGUGGGGUGCCAUUGCCUUCUCCGAUGGAAGGACUGGAGAGAAGCAAAGGUGCCUGGUGGGCGAUGGUCCAUAUGGUCACGAAGUCAGACAACAGCUGAAGUGACAGCACGCGUGCAUUCCUUUGGAAGAAAUAGCUGUGACAUAGGCCCUUUCAACCACAUGUGUGGAGAGGACUGGAUGCGUGAGCCCGGCGCGAGUGAUCAGCCCAGCACCCGGCUCCUGGGAAUCCCUCGGUCAAUAUUAGCUAUUAUGAUUAGUGGUGGAAACUGCUUUUUAAAGUGAGCCCACACUCGCCGCCUGGAAGGUGAUUGCAUUUCUCCGUCUCCACUGAGUGGCGGGAAACUGGUUGGUCAGGAGCUGGGAAGUCUUGCUCUGAUUUCAGGAUCCCUGUGACUUUCUCUCAAGGCAGAGGAAUGUGUUUCGAGACCCCUUGCAGCCGCUCCUGGAUCCCAGUCCCUCCUCCGCAGUUGAGGAUCUUUCCGCCCAUCCUUUACCAGCUCGCUGAUUCAGGGAAGGGCUGCCAGAUACAGGGAUGAACUUUCCCCCGGAUUCCUUGCUGCCUCCCUUCAGAAGCGAAAUGCCGCAGUGCUAACAAAGUGUCUUUCAAGCGACCAGAGGCCCAGACCGUGGGCUGCUGCCUGCCAGCCAGAGAGCUGUUUCCCACCCCCACCCCGUUCUGGGGGCAACGGCAGGCGGUCCCAGCCGCCCCUCUCUCUCCCCUCCGCUCCGUGUUAUCUAUGGGGAUUGGGAAACGUUAUCAAAACAGGCCCCAUCUGUUCCUGAAGUCGUGGAAGAAUACUCGUGUGAUAAAUUUACAGGGCGCUGGAAGACCCUCUAAUUUUCUGGGAAACGACAAGGCCUCUGUGGCCACCUUGUGUAAAAUUUCCUCUUUUAUCCCCAAGUUACAUGCCCUGGACUAUUUACUUGGAGUCUGAGGGUAUAUUUACCAUUCAGGCAACAUCACAAGGUGUCAAAGAAAUCUACUCAGAGUAGGAUGUGUUG
ensembl:lncRNA